UACGUAGGGGGCUAGCGUUGUCCGGAUUUAUUGGGCGUAAAGAGCGUGUAGGCGGCCAGGUAGGUCUGCUGUGAAAACUCGAGGCUUAACCUCGAGAUGUCGGCGGAAACCAUCUGGCUAGAGUCCGGAAGAGGAGAGUGGAAUUCCUGGUGUAGCGGUGAAAUGCGUAGAUAUCGGGAGGAACACCUGUGGCGAAAGCGGCUCACUGGACCACAACUGACGCUGAGGCGCGGAAGCUAGGGGAGCAAACAGG
rnacentral:rRNA from 1 species